CUAAAAGAAGGUUAUUCUUUUAUCUUGUUUUAAAAGGGGCUCAUUGGAAAAUGGAAGAUAUUAUAAGUGGACAUAGAAGCCAAGUGGUUAAUUGAUCAAAUCCUAACUGUAUAAAUUCUUGGACGAAAAGAUGAUCAUUGUUAACUAAUGUAACUCCCAAUUUAAUCUCACCUGCAAUUCUCGUGGACUUGGCACAUGAAACUUAACUCAGUAUUCAUGCAUUUUUGUUUUGAGCCCCGGUUUCAAAUCUUGUAAAGAGAAUCAGCAUGUACAGCAGGCUAAAACGAAACAAAAUAUCACUAUUCAUGUUUUUUUG